GAUGCAAAUAAUGCCGGGUCAUUGACGUUCUAUGUAACUAAAGUAAAAUCAUAAUAAUGCGCAAGUGUUAGAAAAUUGUGGGACCUAGUUUGGAAGCAAUAGGAAAACGUACCAAAUCAGGUUUAGUUAGGUACCUACCAAACAUUGGCAAGGCAACUGACAGCCAAACACCGGACACUUGACGUUCGCCGGCCAUAUUACCGAUCAAGCGUCACGCUGCCAUGAGCAUAUGCCCUAAGAAAACUUAAAAAUAGACGAUGGUACGCAAUAAAUCAAUAACAAACAGAUCACUCAAAGCAUAAUUAUCAUCGUCCGACGCGCGACUGACUGACCGGCGACGACACAGGCGAGUUUGAAAACGAAGAUGGCGCGGGCUUCCACACGCGUUCUGUGAUUGGCCGAGACAGUCCGCCAUUAAAUAACUGUGACUAGCAUGUGGAAAAUAUUGUCAAUUAUAAUAUUCGAUA